GCAGAGUACUUUCUCUAACCCUAACGCUUCUUUGCUUCCUGUACGGCUUGUAUGCUGUUUUGUCUUAAGCUUUCAGCAUAUUACAUGAAGCUUUCCGCGGUUUCGAUACUUUAAAAAAGCUAUAGAGUACUCUGGCGCUCGGUCUCACAGGUUUGGCUGUUUGUACGCGGACAGUUUGACUGCCGCCAAGAGUUCGGCUCUGCUGCACAUUCGGCAGGUCUGUGGACUGCACAACACUGAGCAGAUUAACUUGAGCAUGGCGAAGGUUUGCGGACCUCAAACACUGAUCCUGCAAAUACGCCACCGCUCAGACAUGC
rnacentral:telomerase_RNA from 1 species